rnacentral:rRNA from 1 species
UGACGGUACCUGACUAAGAAGCCCCGGCUAACUACGUGCCAGCAGCCGCGGUAAUACGUAGGGGGCAAGCGUUAUCCGGAUUUACUGGGUGUAAAGGGCGUGUAGGCGGGACUGCAAGUCAGAUGUGAAAGCACGGGGCUCAACUCCGUGUCUGCAUUUGAAACUGUAGUUCUUGAGUGCUGGAGAGGCUAACGGAAUUCCUAGUGUAGCGGUGAAAUGCGUAGAUAUUAGGAGGAACACCAGUGGCGAAGGCGGUUAGCUGGACAGUAACUGACGCUGAGGCGCGAAAGCGUGGGUAGCAAACAGGAUUAGAUACCCUG